CUGCCGAGGCUCCACCCUGCUGAUGUGAGGUUCGCCCUUUUGCUGCAGGCUCUGCCCUUCUGCUGUGGUCUCCGCCCUGUUGCCAUGGGCUACACCCUGCAGAGGAGUCUCUCUGUUGUAUCGGGUUGCCUCAGCAACGGCAGGCUGUGUCAGCAAUGGUGUACCUCUGUAGGGGCUGAUUGCCUCAUUAAUGGCUGACGCCCCUCCCCCGCAGAGCUGCACUUUAAAAAAACCUUUUCACCAGGAGCGUUUGGAAUCGCCGUUUUGUUUGUCGCACUGCACUCCCCCAAAUGCUGAGUCCCUGGGAUUUCCUGGGCUGGGUCACAGUUCAAGACCCAUUCAGUCUCAAGUUCAGCCCUCUCGUGCCGGUUCAACAGGUCACCCUUAACAGUGCGCUUUUGUAUGGAGCACUGUGGAGCGCCUCUGUGCUCCGGCAAUGGCCGGAGCCGCACCAGCUGCCGGCUACACCAGCAGAGACCUCUGCCUGGCGUCCCGCGUCUCUUUUAUACCUGGGAAUUUCCCCGAUCUGUGGGCAACUAAGAUCUGUCUGGAAAUGCUUCCCCGACUCACCCUCUCCAUGCGUCCAGUGAGAGCUUCAAUCCUGGGUUGUUCUCCCAGCGCCAUGUUGAGUCCUCCCACCAAGUUGUCCCUUUUCAUGCAUUGGAAGGGUUCACUCUUAAAGAAGAUGAGAACUGGCUUUUUGGCAAGACCCCAAAGUCUCUGUUGCAGAAGGGAGUGGUUAUUUCAUCAGCUGCUGAAAACAGCUCCAACUGAUGCCUGGGCACCACUCCUCCACCUUUGACUGUCAAUACUCACUCCUGCUGCCUGGGCUGGAGACACUUGGCCUCACCUCCUGCUGGUCUCUGAAUGUCUCACUAAAGGACAAGAGGUAUUCUUGCAGAACAAGAAGUCUUCCUUUUUCUGUUUGCAGAGGAGAGAGGUCCCUAUGUAAGGCCAUUUGGAACUCACUUUCAGUUCACCCGCAGACUUUAUUUUCUGUCCAAGGCAUACAUCCAGUAGGGGAUCACUGGGUUUGGGGAAAGAUAAGUAGCAGCUGUCACCUGGGCUUGAAAGCCACCCCUUCUGUCCUUCCCACUCCUGCUUAGAGAAUUUCCUGGCAAAUCACAAGGAAUCUUUGAGUGUGACCAUUAAUCUGCUUGUGUGGAUGAUUAUGCAACCUUGUGAAAUCAUCUCUGAUGUUCCCACCUGCAUCAUCUCUCAGAGUUUUUGACAGGUAUAGGAGAGUGCCCACCCGUAAAUCACCAUUCAUGGGUCAGGGUGUGCCUGCCACGUGCUGCAUGGGAGCUUCAUCCCUGGUCUUUUCCAACAAGACUUUUUAUAAGAUCAGGUGAGACAAACUCUGGAGACACCAAGCAGGAGGUGUUGCCUCUUCCUGAAAAAGGCUUUCCCUGUUUACCCACAUCAGAAAAGGCCUCAUUUGAUUAAUCCAAAUCUUCCAUGCUGAUUUUGAAGGCUAUUUUCUGUGGCUCGUUUCUGGCAAAUGAAACACAGCCAGUCUCCUGAACAGACAGUUGCUGAUUUUGUGUAAUGUGGAGAUAACUUCCAGCUAUUAUAAGCAUCUGUCAAGCUCCACUCCAGUGAUCUUUCUCAGUAGUAUUUUAAACAGAAUUCAGGCUGAGCCCUUUCUUCCAAAUGCAGGAAAUGAGUCCUAUUCCCAUUUCCUGAGCCACUGCACAGGCUGGCCUUGUCAUCUUCUGAGAUAAUUGUUGGUCAAAGCUUUGAAUUAAGCCAGCUCCCCAUGAUGAGCAGAGAAGCAGGAAGGACUGUGUAUGCCAGCCUAC
rnacentral:lncRNA from 13 species